rnacentral:rRNA from 1 species
GAUGAACGCUAGCGGGAGGCCUAACACAUGCAAGUCGAACGGGAUUGGGAGCUUGCUCCCAUGAGAGUGGCGCACGGGUGAGUAACGCGUAUGCAACCUGCCUUUAACUGAGGGAUAGCCCAUAGAAAUGUGGAUUAAUACCUCAUGGUCCUUUUGAGCUGCAUGGCUUAAAAGGUAAAGCUCUGGCGGUUAAAGAUGGGCAUGCGUGACAUUAGCUGGUUGGUGAGGGAACGGCUCCCCAAGGCGACGAUGUCUAGGGGUUCUGAGAGGAUGAUCCCCCACACUGGUACUGACGCACAUACCAGACUCCGACGGGAGGAAGCAGUGGGGAAUAUUGGUCAAUGGGCGAAAGCCUGAACCAGCGAUCCCGCGUGCAGGAUGACGGCCUUAGGUGUUGUAAACUGCUUUUGUACACCAAGACAACUUCGGACGUGUCCGAAGCUGACUGUAGUGUAUGAAUAAGCAUCGGCUAACUCCGUGCCAGCAGCCGCGGUAA